rnacentral:rRNA from 1 species
GACGAACGCUGGCGGCGUGCUUAACACAUGCAAGUCGAACGGAAAGGCCCUGCUUUUGUGGGGUGCUCGAGUGGCGAACGGGUGAGUAACACGUGAGUAACCCGCCCUUGAAUUUGGGAUAACUUCAGGAAACUGGGGCUAAUACCGGAUAGGAGCUCUUGCUGCAUGGUGGGGGUUGGAAAGUUUUGGCGGUUGGGGAUGGACUCGCGGCUCAUCAGCCUGUUGGUGGAGUAGUGGCUUACCAAGGUUUUGACGGGUAGCCGGCCUGAGAGGGUGGCCGGCCACAUGGGGACUAAGAUACGGCGCAGACGCCAACGGGAGGCAACGGUGGGAAAUAUUGCAGAAUGAGCGGAAGCCUGAUGCAACAACGCCGCGUGCGUAAUGACGGCCUUCGAGUUGUAAACCACUUUCGCCUGUGACGAAGCGUGAGUGACGGUAAUGGAUAAAGAAGCACCGGCUAACUACGUG